GGCCGUGUGGCGUAAUGGCAGCGCGUCUGACUGUAAGUAAUUCCCGUUCAACCGCGCUACGGGAAUAUAACUAAUAAUGUCCUAGACGAAUCAGGAGGCUGCAGGUUCGACCCCUGCCUCGGUCA